AAGAGCCUUGUGCAUACCUACUAAAAUUGGAAUGAUACAGAAAGAUGAGCAUGGCACCUGUGCAAGGAUGAUGUGCAAAUUCAUGAAGGAUUUCACAUUUUU
rnacentral:snRNA from 1 species